AUUGCACACCAAAUAGACUAGAGUAUAAUGUAAAUUUUAACUUUUAUAUGUACUGGGAAACCAAAAAAUUCAUUUGACUUGCUUUAUUGCAAUAUGAACUUUAUUGUGGUGGUCUGGGACCAAACCCACAAAAUCUCUGAGGUAUGCCCCUAUGACUUUAAAUAUAUCAUUAAAAUGAAUU